rnacentral:tRNA from 1 species
UAGCUUAGUUGAAAAAGCACUUGUCUAGCGAAUAAGGGGCGUGAGUUCAAGUCUCGC